rnacentral:rRNA from 1 species
UACGUAGGGUCCGAGCGUUGUCCGGAAUUAUUGGGCGUAAAGGGCUCGUAGGCGGUUUGUCGCGUCGGGAGUGAAAAACAUCUGGCUUAACUGGGUGCUUGCUUUUCGAUACGGGCAGACUGGAGGUAUGCAGGGGGAGAACGGAAUUCCUGGUGUAGCGGUGAAAAAUGCGCAGAUAUCAGGAGGAACACCGGUGGCGAAGGCGGUUCUCUGGGCAUUACCUGACGCUGAGGAGCGAAAGUGUGGGGGAGCGAAACAGG